UGGGGAAUAUUGGACAAUGGGCGCAAGCCUGAUCCAGCCAUGCCGCGUGCGUGAAGAAGGCCUUCGGGUUGUAAAGCUCUUUUACCAGGGACGAUAAUGACGGUACCUGGAGAAUAAGCCCCGGCAAACUUCGUGCCAGCAGCCGCGGUAAUACGAAGGGGGCUAGCGUUGUUCGGAAUUACUGGGCGUAAAGCGCACGUAGGCGGAUUGUUAAGUCAGAGGUGAAAUCCCGGAGCUCAACUUCGGAACUGCCUUUGAUACUGGCAAUCUAGAGUCCGGAAGAGGUUAGUGGAAUUCCCAGUGUAGAGGUGAAAUUCGUAGAUAUUAGGAAGAACACCAGUGGCGAAGGCGGCCAACUGGCUCGAUACUGACGCUGAGGUGCGAAAGCGUGGGGAGCAAACAGGAUUAGAUACCCUAGUAGUCCCUGAGCGGGCUGGCAAGGCGCAU
rnacentral:rRNA from 1 species